CAGGUUGGUGGUUAAGAAGCUUGUGUCUCUCUCCCGGCAGUGCUUGUGGAAUGGGUUUAUCCCAGGAGCCCUGAAGUCGUCCAGCGCUACGCCCUGCCCGUGCUCUGGUCCUUCCUGGGGAACAAGGCGCUGCCCGUGCGAAGCGCCAAUGUCCGCACUGUGGUCACCAAGCUUGCCUCUGCCCUCUACAAGGUGAUGGGCACCAAGCUGAGGAAGUGUGCUGCCAGCCAGCCUCCACAUGUGCGGCAAAACCUCUCCAGCAUCUUGGGCUGGUGAGGGACUGAUGCUCUCCAGGAAGAUGACGAAGAGCUGACUCAAACACCUCCGGACAUGACUUCUUAGCUGUGCCAACAACGACAAAAUACUGAGGAAGGGUUUGCAUCCGCCCCCACUCUCUCCACUGCCCUUCCUAGUCAAGGCAUGGGGGGCCUGAAGCAACUCCGGAUUGAGGACAAGACGAAGGCUGAGCAGGGCUCAGCCUCUCACAGGCUCCUCUCCUACGAAGAAGUUUUCUCUUCAUGCUUCAUGGGUGCCCACAGAGUCCUUGCCUCCCAUCCAGAAGAGCCCUCUUUCUUCAGAGCUCAGGAAGAAGCUUCUGCCUCUCCGAACCUGGUUGACAAAUAGGUUUAAUGGCUUAGGCUUUAGAGUUAGGGAUGUAGGAUAUAGUAAAGGGAUAGUAGUGUAGUAUAGGGAUAUAGUAUAGUAGGGAUGAAGUGUUCUUAUAUUAUAAUGUACAUUUGAGGAUACAUUUUGAUUGUAGUUUUUAAAUAGUGAUGACAUAUUUUAAUUCUUUAUAUAUAUUUUUGUAGAUACAGUGUGUUUUUUUAAUGUUAUACAAGUUAAAUUUUUAAAAA